AAACGUCCCACGUUCGGAUUGUAGUCUGCAACCCGACUACAUGAAGCCGGAAUCGCUGGUAAUCGCGGAUCAGAAUGCCGCGGUGAAUACGUUCCCGGGUCUUGUACACACCGCCCGUCACACCAUGGGAGUCGGAAAUGCCCGAAGCCGGUGACCCAACCCGAAAGGGAGGGAGCCGUCGAAGGCAGGUCGGAUGACUGGGGUGAAGUCGUAACAAGGUAAC
rnacentral:rRNA from 1 species